UACGUAGGUGGCAAGCGUUGUCCGGAUUUACUGGGUGUAAAGGGCGUGUAGGCGGGGAUGUAAGUCAGAUGUGAAAUACCGGGGCUUAACUUCGGGGCUGCAUCUGAAACUACAUUUCUUGAGUACUGGAGAGGAAAGCGGAAUUCCUAGUGUAGCGGUGAAAUGCGUAGAUAUUAGGAGGAACACCAGUGGCGAAGGCGGCUUUCUGGACAGUAACUGACGCUGAGGCGCGAAAGCGUGGGGAGCAAACAGG
rnacentral:rRNA from 1 species